UACGGGGGGAGCAAGCGUUGUUCGGAUUUACUGGGCGUAAAGGGCGCGUAGGCGGUCAGCACAAGUCAGUUGUGAAAUCUCCGGGCUUAACUCGGAAAGGUCAACUGAUACUGUGCGACUAGAGUGCGGAAGGGGCAACUGGAAUUCUCGGUGUAGCGGUGAAAUGCGUAGAUAUCGGGAGGAAGACACCAGAGGCGAAGGCGGGUUACUGGGCUGAUACUGACGCUGAUGCGCGAAAGCCCAGGGGAGCAAACGGGG
rnacentral:rRNA from 1 species